rnacentral:rRNA from 1 species
AGGACGAACGCUGGCGGCGUGCUUAACACAUGCAAGUCGAACGGAAAGGCCCUUUCGGGGGUACUCGAGUGGCGAACGGGUGAGUAACACGUGGGUGAUCUGCCCUGCACUUCGGGAUAAGCCUGGGAAACUGGGUCUAAUACCGGAUAGGACUACGGGAUGCAUGUCCUGUGGUGGAAAGCUUUUGCGGUGUGGGAUGGGCCCGCGGCCUAUCAGCUUGUUGGUGGGGUGAUGGCCUACCAAGGCGACGACGGGUAGCCGGCCUGAGAGGGUGUCCGGCCACACUGGGACUGAGAUACGGCCCAGACUCCUACGGGAGGCAGCAGUGGGGAAUAUUGGUCAAUGGACGAGAGUCUGAACCAGCCAUGCCGCGUGAAGGAUGAAGGCGUUCUGCGUUGUAAACUUCUUUUGCGGGGGUAAGAACCUUGAUAUUCUUAUCAAGCCGACGGUACCCCGAGAAUAAGCACCGGCUAACUCCGCGCCAGCAGCCGCGGU